GGAAGGAGGAGCCAAGCUAGAGCAAGGCUGUUGUGUGAGCCCGGUUGGGGAGGAGCUAGUGCAGAGCCGGAGGAAAGCUGAAAGAUGCUGGGGUGGGCAGAGGGGGUAGGAGAACCAGGAAUGGGCCAGAGGAGUUGGAGCUGGGAGUGGAGACGCAUGGGGAGUAGGAUGGGGCUGUGGGAAAAAGCUGGGAGAAAGAAGCUGACGGUGGAGCUGCAGCGGGAACUGUGUCAGAGAUUCUGGAGGGGCCACCUGCAAGAGGAGGACGUAGCUGUGGGCAGAACUGUGAGAUGCACCUACGUCUCCUUGGAGAAACUUGAGGAAGCAGGAAUGCUGGAGAUGAGCCUCUUGUUUGAAGAACUAGAACUCACCUAAUGAGCUGGAUACUCACAUGUGGCUGCUAGCGGGGAAGCCCGUGGUGGCUACAUAAGGGCUCCGUUUUCUAACUCUCCCAGCUGCCCCACUCUCCUGGGUGUGCUGGGCAGUGGGGUUAGCGCGCACAUUAGUGCACACUCUCCCUGGGCGGCAGCAAACAGCCGAGGUCUGAUCUGUGGUCAGAUGAGGAGAAGUCGAAGAAAAGCAGCUGCAGCGGUGAGUGGGCCUAGGAAGAAUGGCAUCACCAGGUCAGGUAGGGAUGAGGGUGGUGUUCGG
rnacentral:lncRNA from 1 species